GCUCUUUUUUCCCCCCCUCCUCGCGUUCACUCCCCCCACACCUCUCUCACGCUCUCUCUUUUUCCUCCCUCUCGCUCCCCCCCCCUCCUCUCCUCCUCCUCUCUCCC
rnacentral:ribozyme from 1 species